GAUGAACGCUAGCGGCAGGCCUAACACAUGCAAGUCGAGGGGUAACAGAGAGUGCUUGCACCUUCUGACGACCGGCGCACGGGUGCGUACCGCGUAUGCAACCUACCUUCUACAGGGGGAUAGCCCAGAGAAAUUUGGAAUAAUANCCCAUACGAUCUUUACUUGGCAUCGAGUAAAGAAGAAAACUUUUGUGGUAGAAGAUGGGCAUGCGUCCUAUUAGUUAGUUGGUGAGGUAACGGCUCACCAAGACAUCGAUAGGUAGGGGUCCUGAGAGGGAGAUCCCCCACACUGGUACUGAGACACGGACCAGACUUCUACGGAAGGCAGCAGUAAGGAAUAUUGGACAAUGGAGGCAACUCUGAUCCAGCCAUGCCGCGUGAAGGAAGACGGCCUUAUGGGUUGUAAACUUCUUUUAUACAGGAAGAAACCUUUCCACGUGUGGAAAGCUGACGGUACUGUAAGAAUAAGGAUCGGCUAACUCCGUG
rnacentral:rRNA from 1 species